GACGUAGGGCGCAAGCGUUGUCCGGAAUUAUUGGGCGUAAAGAGCUCGUAGGCGGUCUGUCGCGUCGGUCGUGAAAACUUGGGGCUUAACCCUGAGCUUGCGGUCGAUACGGGCAUGACUGGAGUUCGGCAGGGGAGAACGGAAUUCCUGGUGUAGCGGUGAAAUGCGCAGAUAUCAGGAGGAACACCGGUGGCGAAGGCGGGUCUCUGGGCAGUAACUGACGCUGAGGAGCGAAAGCGUGGGGAGCGAACAGG
rnacentral:rRNA from 1 species